UUCACUCAAUGAUGCGGUUUUGAUUGAGAUGUUUGCAUUUGAAUCUCAACAACGGCAGUGAUCAGACGACAUUUUGAAGGAGCAGAUCAACAGUGAGCAUGUUAAGAGAUGAAGAAAAUGUUCACAGUAUUCUCCCACAAAAGAGAAGUUUACUCAGGCAGAUUUUGAUAAAGAGAAUGGCUGCCAUCCAGCAGUGUGGGAAUGCAGAGAGAAUUGCUGUCAGGCAGAGGGAUGACCAACCAUGAGGACUUCCGCAUUGUCUUGGUGGAUGAGCGAGUCAUGGCUGGCUUGGAAAAUCGAAAAUUGUUGAACUGGAUUAAUACAAAUCUUCCCCAAAUUAAAAUCACCCAAAAACAAACUUAUAUUAAGUUUCUGAUACAAAUUCACUCCCACAACCUUUUGGGGAAAUUUCACUGCAUUGACUGAUUGAUCGAUUGUGUUGCUAAUAUUUUGAGAUACAGCUUUUAUACUGGUUUUUGUAUGUUAUGCAAUACACAAAUUCUGUAACAUUUUGUCUAAAAUGUGACUAUUCCUACCAAAGAAAUUUGACAGAACAUUUUUUUUUACCAUGACAUGGAUAAAGAACUUUU